rnacentral:rRNA from 1 species
AUUGAACGCUGGCGGCAUGCCUUACACAUGCAAGUCGAACGGUAACAGGGAGCUUGCUCCGCUGACGAGUGGCGAACGGGUGAGUAAUAUAUCGGAACGUACCAUUGAGUGGGGGAUAACGUAGCGAAAGUUGCGCUAAUACCGCAUAUUCUCUCCGGAGGAAAGCAGGGGGACCGCAAGGCCUUGCGCUCAUUGAGCGGCCGAUAUCAGAUUAGCUAGUUGGUGGGGUAAAAGCUCACCAAGGCGACGAUCUGUAGCGGGUCUGAGAGGAUGAUCCGCCACACUGGAACUGAGACACGGUCCAGACUCCUACGGGAGGCAGCAGUGGGGAAUUUUGGACAAUGGGCGCAAGCCUGAUCCAGCAAUGCCGCGUGCAGGAUGAAGGCCUUCGGGUUGUAAACUGCUUUUGUACGGAACGAAAAGGCUCUGGUUAAUACCUGGGGCUCAUGACGGUACCGUAAGAAUAAGCACCGGCUAACUACGUG